GCCUGGGUGGCUCAGUUGGUUGAGCAUCUGACUUCAGCUCAGGUCAUGGUCUUAUGGUUCGUGAGUUUGAGCCCCACAUCAGGCU
rnacentral:tRNA from 1 species